AGGAUCAAUUUUACGAAGAAGCAUACAGAGAUCGGGGAAACACAAUCCCCUUUUUAAGGAUUGAACUACCUGGGAACCAUACCAGGGACUUAUAUUCCAUCUUCUUUCCUCUGGGAACUGCCAGCCUCCUCUCUCCUUUACCCAAAGAAAUCGAUUUCAGUUUGACUCUCAUUUUUUUGUAUCAUUCAACUCUACUCUCAAUGAAAGUAUCAUCUUUAUCUUGGAAGCUUCUAUAUAGACUUGUACAAUCCAAGCUUGCUCUUUAGGGUUCAGUUUAUUUUUUCUCUCUGCAGAGAUGGCAUAUGCUUGAGAUGAUAUGAGGACAUUCAUUGGCACAAGAUGGAUUUUUUUUGUUAAUGAAAUUCUUAUUUAAAUAGAUUAUUGUCCUUAAAAGUUGACUUUGACAUUCCAAUCAAAAUAAAAUAAAAGGAAAUGAAAAAGAAGAGUUGUUUUCAAUUAAUUAAAUUUCCCAUUUUUAAAAGUGAAUAUGCUCUUUGUUUUCAAUGACUCCUAUAAGAUUGAAGUAACUGUACAUUAUACAAAUCUAAAUGAUGUAAUGCAAUAGUGCAUUUUGAAAGUCAUAAAAUAGAGCUGGUACUACUCCAACAUUGCAACAUUUUUAUAUUGAAAAUAUCCAUGGUAUGAUGACAAUUUAGUUGAUAUUUCCUGAGGUUUAAAACAGUCAAGAAAGAACAACGCUGGAAGCAUUAUGUUUCUGAUUUCAAACGAUAUUACAAAGCUAUAGUAAUCAAAACAGUAUAGCAUUGCCAUAGAAGCAGAUACAUAGAUCAAUGCACAGAAGAGAGAACCCAGAAAUAAAUCCAGGCACACAUAGUCAAUUAACUAAUGACAAAGGAGCCAGAAUCUACAACAGGGAAAGGAUAGUCUCUUCAGUAAAUGCUAUUGGGAAAACUGGAUGGCAUGUGUAAAGGAAUGAAACUAUGUUAUAUCAUACAAAAAAUUAACUCAAAAUGAAUUAAAGAAAAUAUGGGCAGUAAGCUCCUUGACAUUGAU